AUCUUUACGGUUGUACUGCUGGUUUAGUCCUAUGCAUAGACGGUCCUCUUCCUGGUUGAUUAGGUGCUUGUAGGCCAUUGGUUCAUGCCCGUGCUUGUAUAGUAUGGCCUGUUUUCUUACCUUUUGCUAAUUCCCAGUAAACUACAAGACUUGCUCAAGUUAGUGCAUUAAAAGAAACAUAUGCAGCAAGUGAUAGUUGCUGCUUGCUAAUAAAGGAAUGAUGCCUCCAUCAAUAGAAAAUAAAUAUGUAGGUUACAAAAUACAGUCAGACAUAUACACCACUUGCUUAUUGUUUUUAAACAUGCUUGCUUUUUCUUUUAUCUUUCAUAAACCUCUGAUUCCUUUCAGGUUUCCGAUUUCCUUUUGUUCUACAGGCGUUGUUAUCAUUACUUCCUCUCCCCUCGCUGGCUCGUCAUCUGCUUGCUAUCAAGGUCUUCCUUUGCGACGUCUGGCUGCCUGACCGGCUAAUUUUCUCACUCCCGGUUCGCCAAGUUUCUGCUGUGGUUCAGUUCAUGUGACGCCUUGCGCCCUGUCUUUCAUCUUGCCAAGAUGACAGCAGUUAAACAAGAAGAAGCAGACAUAACCAGUGAUAUCAGCGGUGGCCAAAUUACCCAUGCCGAACCACUGUGUCGCAAGCACAAUAAGCCAUUUGAGUAUAUUCAUCGCCCACGCAAAGCAGGUUCAAUCCAAAAGUUCAAAGGCAAGAAAAUCCAACUAAAGCCUGGAAAGUACAUUCUCCGUGGUGAGCCUUGCAUCCACUACUUAGAUGAGUUUAGUCGCCACAUUGUGGGGGCAACAUAGUUAAGCUCUACAACCAUAAUGUUUCUAGACUGCGAAAGAUCAUCCGCACCACCACCAUGCC